rnacentral:rRNA from 1 species
UACGGGGGGGGCAAGCGUUGUUCGGAAUUACUGGGCGUAAAGGGCGCGUAGGCGGCCUGCUAAGUCGGACGUGAAAUCCCCCGGCUCAACCGGGGAACUGCGUCCGAUACUGGUGGGCUCGAAUCCGGGAGAGGGAUGUGGAAUUCCAGGUGUAGCGGUGAAAUGCGUAGAUAUCUGGAGGAACACCGGUGGCGAAGGCGGGUCUCUGGGCCGAUACUGACGCUGAGGAGCGAAAGCGUGGGGAGCGAACAGG